rnacentral:lncRNA from 1 species
GACAUUCGGAUCCUUCUGCAGUAAAGCUUUAAUGCAUCUCGGGAGAUAGAUGAUCAGCUUCAGGAGAAGAAACCCAGAGAGCAGAAAACCCUUCCCUUAUAUAGACUGCGAAGUACGGUUGGAGACGUGCACCAUCCAGAUUGGCUGCCCACCAUCAGCCCAGAUGACGCCACGGGAGAGGCAGGGCUCAGGUAAUGGAAAGAUACCCUGACGCCUGCGCACACUACUUGUUUUUCAACAUGAGCAACGGAUGUCAGCGCCAUCUUGUAAUGGCUAACUGUGAAGGCGGCUCCUCACAAAGAGAAAAAAAAAAAAACCCUACACUCACUGACCAAAACAACUGUUUCUACUCUUAGACCCAGAUCUGAAAGCUCAUAUGUCACAGAAAAGUUAAUGCCCAAAAGAGAAGAGCCGAAGAGAAAAGGUUUCCUUGGUGGCCAGGGUCAGGAAACAGUCACUCUGCUGAUGUCUGUCAGUGUGGAAAAAAAAAAAAAUACAUGGGAUAAACAAUGUUUCUCUAGGGCCUCUGUUGAUGCAACCACUCCAGACAACCCUUAAGUUGGGUCACACUCUAAUAAAUCGGGGAUUUAAAAGUAGAAAUUGUGUGUGCAAUCUAGGACAGAUUUUUCAGUCAUCAGCUGUAUGUAACUUUUGCUGUCAACAGUGUUGUAUACUGGCACGUGGCCUAUAUGAACCAGGUACACCUGGGAGGCAAGCUGGGGCUGAAAAAGACUUAGAUGGCAAGAGAUUAAUGGAGCCAAGAUGAUUCACUGUUCAAGUGCUUAUAAGGGGGAAAGCCCAUUCCCUUCCCCCAAGUCCACUCUUGGUGCCUGGAGCCAUUCCAUCAGCACUCAGUUGCCAGGCUUCUUGAUGUAUUGUUGCCAAGUUGUUAGCACUUGUCUGCCAGAGCUGUUAGCAGUAAGUCGCCAGUUCCACAGGUAGUCAGCUAUCUCAGGAACAUCUCAGGAAGACAGGUUCAGCCUUUCAGCAGGUAGCAGAAGAGCAGGGCGGUUGUCACUUCAAAAAGGAGUCAGCCAAGUGAGAAAGCUGCACCGCAGGUGGCCCCACCUACCAGCCUGCUUCAGGCUGGGGGAGGCUACACAACAGGUCUGUGCAUUCCUUCCAGCUGGGACACAAGUUUCUGUUGAAAACCUGAAAAGCAGGAUCAAUGGAAGACAGGUUGUACAAGGCAUAGAUGGACCCACAGGCAGUGCUUCUGGGGGCACCAACAGCAGUGGAGCUUGCUAGAGAGAUGCCUCGGACGCUCUACAGUGGGAUAGAGAAGAUGUCUCAAGAUCACUGGAUAUCCAAGUAAGAUUUAAAGCUCUGACCCAUUGAUACAGUCCUGGGUACUCUAUGUGGGAGUGUCUGCAUGAGCGUGGACCCACCUAAAGACGGAUAGAGGAGCAGAGAGUAUCAGUGUCUAAGGCCAUCAGAAAAAUAUUUGUGUUUUCAGAUGGUCUUAGGAACCUGAGAAAGGGAUGGUCAACCUCCAUGGGGGGUCGGGACCCACCGGCUGAGAACCACCACUCUAUGAAGCUGGCCAGAGAUGCCUGUGUUCUUAAUGUUUAGACCCCUGUCCUGCAGCAUGACAAAUGCACCACUUCGCUGUAAUGAAAACAGCUGCAUGUACUUGGCAAAAAGCAUAUUGGAUCCUUCUGACCUCUGCCUUCUGGGCAGAUGCGUGCUGAACAGAAUGCGUAUUCACAUAGCGUCCUGAGGCAUGUGGGUCCAUUUUCAUCUAUAUUGUCUGUCUUCCUCUUGGCAGGCAGCAGGGCCUACAACACUACAGCUUACUAUAAAAGGCUGAUAAACCUGUGACCCACUCUGAUACCUGUAACUCAGGAUACAAUGCAGCUAGAAAAGAACAGUCCUGCUGGAGGUAAAGAGGCACCUGCCAUCACAGGGCUUGGGUCGGGUUGACCGUCUGGCCAGAGGAGCAAGACUCGAUUCUGGAGUGGCUGACGGUCAUGUGGGCCCUUUUGCUGUCUAGACACGAGAUCUGAGUUUUCUAGGGUGUGAGCCUGCUGCCUUCUUAGGCAACAAGCCCUGAAAAUAAGUGAAGUUCUUCAACUCCUGUCUCUGUUCAUUGGCAUUAGUGGUGACAGGCAUUACAAACGCCAGUGUUCUGGUCAUGGGAGACGUUGUCAACAAAACCAGGAUGAAACUAAUAAUGCAGGGCCAGCUGUGUGACCUCCAAAAACAUUGAAUAAGAGAGAGAGAGAGAGAGCUAGCAGAGCUUAUUUAGGUUUUUCCAUCCCAGUAUCACCAUUGGCACCAAAACCAGUUUCUACAUUUAGGAAACCAAAAGGUGCAGCCUACAAAAAGAAAAUAAACACUUAGCAGCUGGACGUGGUAGUGCAGGCCUUUAGUCCCAGCGUUAAGGAUGCAGAGGCAAGCAGAUCUCUGUGAGUUUGAAGCCAGCCUGGUCUACAGAUUGAAUCUAGGACAGCCAGGGCUACACAGAGAAACCCUAUCUAGGGAAAAACAAAAG